GCAUUUUUUUUAAAAUAAUAAAAACUUUAAAAAAGGAAAAAAUUGAAAAAAUUCUUUAAAAAAUAUGAAAAACUUGCCUAAUUAGUACACAUGAUUGGAUUGUAUUUUACUUAUUUCAUUAUAGUUUUAGUGUUUUAUUAAGUUAUAUAUUUAAUUACUUAUAUUAUAUUAUAUACAUUUUAACAAAACAAUCAAUAAGCUACAUUAAAAGAGAUUUAAUUAUUAAAAGCUUCAAACAAAGAAAUUUUACUGAUAAAUGGAUAACUUGAAACAACUUACAAGUUAUAACUUACAACUUAAUUUACAAAAAGUAAGCACAACUUAUAAAAUACAAAAAAUAAACGUACUUGAAAUAAUUGUAGAGAGAUUAGAAGAUUUAGAGCUUUGGAGUAAAGAAUAGUGAAAAUGGAGGGGAUAUGAGUGCCUAUUUAUAGGCAAAAGUUCUCCAAAUUGAAAAUAAAUAAA